CUGGAAUGGUUCCUGACUAAAAUCUAUAUGGCCUCUGGAUUGGACUGCGGCCGAUCAGGCUGUUGGUGAGGUAAUGGCCCACCAAACCUGUAACCGGUACGGGCUCUGAGAGGAGGAGCCCGGAGAUGGGCACUGAGACAAGGGCCCAGGCCCUAUGGGGCGCAGCAGGCGCGAAACCUCUGCAAUAGGCGAAAGCCUGACAGGGUUACUCUGAGUGACUUUCGCUAAGAAAGUCUUUUGGCACCUCUAAAAAGGGUGCAGAAUAAGGGGUGGGCAAGUCUGGUGUCAGCCGCCGCGGUAAUACCAGCACCCCGAGUGGUCGGGACGAUUAUUGGGCCUAAAGCAUCCGUAGCCGGUUCUGCAAGUCCCCCGUUAAAUCCAGCUGCUCAACAGAUGGGCCGCGGAGGAUACUACAGAGCUAGGAGGCAGGAGAGGCAAGCGGUACUCAGUGGGUAGGGGUAAAAUCCUUUGAUCCAUUGAAGACCACCAGUGGCGAAGGCGGCUUGCCAGAACGCGCUCGACGGUGAGGGAUGAAAGCUGGGGGAGCAAACCGGAUUAGAUACCCGGGUAGUCCCAGCUGUAAACGAUGCAGACUCGGUGAUGGGCUAGCCUUGUGCCAGCCCAGUGCCGCAGGGAAGCCGUUAAGUCUGCCGCCUGGGGAGUACGGUCGCAAGACUGAAACUUAAAGGAAUUGGCGGGGGAGCACCACAAGGGGUGAAGCCUGCGGUUCAAUUGGACUCAACGCCGGU
rnacentral:rRNA from 1 species